AGACGGCGACCGGCGCACGGGUGAGUAACACGUAUCCAACCUGCCGAUAACUCCGGAAUAGCCUUUCGAAAGAAAGAUUAAUACCGGAUGGCAUACGAAUAUCGCAUGAUAUUUUUAUUAAAGAAUUUCGGUUAUCGAUGGGGAUGCGUUCCAUUAGUUUGUUGGCGGGGUGACGGCCCACCAAGACUACGAUGGAUAGGGGUUCUGAGAGGAAGGUCCCCCACAUUGGAACUGAGACACGGUCCAA
rnacentral:rRNA from 1 species